rnacentral:sRNA from 1 species
CGUACCCGUCGGCCACAAACUCGCCCGUUGGCAUGUUCCGUCGGUUCCUUUGUUAACAAGUAUCUGUUUCGGUAGCAUAUCUCAAAUUAUUUGUGACGCAGGUCUAGUCUACAACUGUAUAUGCAUGAGGGUCAUCACACCAUCACUCCUCGUCAACAUCCAUCCCCUUCGCCUCCCUCGCCUCUUUCCUAAUCUUCCCUUUGCCUUCUCUCCAUUUUCUAUUCACUUCGUCCGGCGUCUCACCCCUCGGCCGAUCUUGUACCUUUUUGUACUUCCCACUCAUCAUGUAAUCUCCCCCACCUAUCGGCCACAGCGCUCCCGCAGAUUUCUCAGCGCACGGAGGGCCAAAUAUAGAAUCAAGUUUCCGCAAAGAACCUGAUAUCUGCCAACUUCGCAGCUGAGCUUCCUGGCGCGCAACUUCGAGCUGUCUGUCUAAACCUUCUCUUCCGCCCAUAGCGAGGUUGUAUUUUUUCUCCUUUUCAUCAUCUGAUAGUCUCUGCCAAGGACCGUCAUAUCCCCCAAACCGCCAAUCGAUCAGAUCGUCGGGAUACCCACAAUGGUGUAAAGUGAGAGGUAAAGGGUGACCCAUCGUAUAGUUGGGCUUUGAAGGAAAGCGCUCGACGUCGAGCAGGUCAGAGACAAUGGAGGGAGGUUCGAGUUUUGCACCGACCAGGAACAGGACGGCAAUGAUAUGACGAACUUGAUGCCAUAGGAAAGCGGUACCAAUCAAGUUGAAAACCAUCAUCCCUUCCCCUACACCUUGACUCUCCCCUCCUUCGAACCAUGCUUUCAAUACGCCUCGGGUAUGGUUCUCAAUCUGCUUCGACCCGUCUAGCUUGCAGAAAUUACGGUAAUCGUGUUCGCCCAGUAAGAGCUGAGCACCCUGGCGCAUGAGCUCAAGGUCGACUUCAGGAGAAGUAGGCGUGGGUCGGGUGUGGAAGGCGUAGCGAUAGUGUCUAUACGUGCAGGAAAAUCGUGAAUCGAAUGAUGACGGGAUAGGAGACCACGCGAGGAUUCGAAUAGAAGGUGGGAGGACAGAAUUGAGAAGUUUUGGAUAUGGAAACUCGCUCGGUUGUCGAGGAGGCCGGACAAUUUUGCUCUUUUCCUCUUUUCCUCCCUGUCCCUCGUCCUCUUGUACUAUCACAGUCUUUUCCACCUCUGGCUCAGCCGCAUCCCGCCAUCCGUCUCCCAACUCCCCACCGCCAUCUCCUCUUUUCCUGCUACUCCUCACCCAGAGAUUAACCACCUGCCCUUCCCCACUCACGCCCCUAUCCGUCCGUCCACACCUCCCAAACCCACACCCUUCCCACCCUUUCCCUUCUGCAAUCAACCUCGUCUUCUCCAGCGCUGCCAAUAAUUCCGCCUCGACGGUAGGGAUGGGCGGUCCAUCAGGCGUAGCGGGCGCUUGGAGCGCAAGACCAGAGUAAGGCCAACCGUGGUACGAGAUCAGAAGGGCAAUGUGGCGGGUAGGAUGGGCGGGGAAGUGGAAGGGCUUUUCGGCCUUCUUUUUAGACUUGCGUUCUUGUUUAGUGGCCGUGGUUUGUAGCGGGAGAGGUUCGUGCGAAGGGACGAGGGAAGUGCAUUCGAGAGCUUCGAGUUUUUGGAUGAGUUGCUCGCGGGUGAGAUUGGCGUAGCGUGACAUUUUGUUUGCUCUCCGAAGGAUGAAAGUGGUAAUCAUCCAAGAGGAGAGCGAGAAUGAAAAGGCUGUGGAGGAAGGUAGAUUUGUGGUAUUGUCAACAGUCGCCAGACCAAAUAAAUGGUUUGUCGAUCAGAAGAGAAAAAUACCAGAAAUUUCUGGUUGGUAGGAUUGCAAUCAAAUACAGGGGUGCUAAAAGCGUCUAAGCAUAUGAAUUGAC